AAAUUGAAGAGUUUGAUCAUGGCUCAGAUUGAACGCUGGCGGCAGGCCUAACACAUGCAAGUCGAACGGUAGCACAGAGAGCUUGCUCUCGGGUGACGAGUGGCGGACGGGUGAGUAAUGUCUGGGAAACUGCCUGAUGGAGGGGGAUAACUACUGGAAACGGUAGCUAAUACCGCAUAACGUCGCAAGACCAAAGAGGGGGACCUUCGGGCCUCUUGCCAUCAGAUGUGCCCAGAUGGGAUUAGCUAGUAGGUGG
rnacentral:rRNA from 1 species